rnacentral:rRNA from 1 species
AUACGGAGGGGGUUAGCGUUGUUCGGAAUUACUGGGCGUAAAGCGUACGUAGGCGGAUCGGAAAGUAAGGGGUGAAAUCCCAGGGCUCAACCCUGGAACUGCCUCUUAAACUCCCGGUCUUGAGUUCGAGAGAGGUGAGUGGAAUUCCUAGUGUAGAGGUGAAAUUCGUAGAUAUUAGGAGGAACACCAGUGGCGAAGGCGGCUCACUGGCUCGAUACUGACGCUGAGGUACGAAAGUGUGGCGAGCAAACAGGAUUAGAUACCCUAGUAGUCC